UGACAAAGCCAGUGGCAGCUUGGGCCUCCAACAGAAUCAGAGAAGUACCAGGGGUCAGCAAGCCUUUGCUUUUGGCUUCAUAGAUGCUUAAGGUCUCUUUGGUGGACUGCAGGUACACUCCUGCAAUGCAAUUGGUCCCCUCGAGGUAUUUGCGCACUGAGUCCAUUUCACUUACUUCUGUCACUGUGACUUUUCCAGCAGUAAGAUCUUUGUAAAGGUCCUCAUUGAUGAUUUCUGAUUCAAGCAACUCAGUAGCAGUGACAUCCUUUCUGAUUCCAUGGAAUUUUUCAACUUCAGUUGUCUCCGUGACUGUAGUGG